GAUGAAGAACGUAGCGAAAUGCGAUACGUAAUGUGAAUUGCAGAAUUCAGUGAAUCAUCGAAUCUUUGAACGCACAUUGCGCCCCCUGGUAUUCCGGGGGGCAUGCCUGUCCGAGCGUCAUUACAACCCUCAAGCUCAGCUUGGUGUUGGGCCCCGCCGCCCCGGCGGGCCCUAAAGUCAGUGGCGGUGCCGUCCGGCUCCGAGCGUAGUAAUUCUUCUCGCUCUGGAGGCCCGGUCGUGUGCUCGCCAGCAACCCCCAAUUUUUUUCAGGUUGACCUCGGAUCAGGUAGGGAUACCCGCUGAACUUAAGCAUAUCAAUAAGCGGAGA
rnacentral:misc_RNA from 1 species